UGCCAGCCGCCGCGGUAAUACGGAGGGGGCGAGCGUUAUUCGGAAUCAUUGGGCGUAAAGGGCGCGUAGGCGGCUUGACAAGUCAGUGGUGAAUCCCUCGGCUCAACCGAGGAACUGCCUCUGAAACUGUCUCGCUUGAGGCCGGGAGAGGGUGGUGGAAUUCCCAGUGUAGCGGUGAAAUGCGUAGAUAUGUGGAGGAACAUCAGUGGCGAAGGCGGCAGCCUGGCCCAAUACUGACGCUGAGGUGCGAAAGCGUGGGGAGCGAACAGGAUUAGAUAC
rnacentral:rRNA from 1 species